AGCAGAGGCAAUGAAGGUCUUCUUUUCCAUUUUUGUAUGUUAGAGGAAAAUCAAACCCUUUUUCUGUUCAGUAAAGUAACAGAGGAGCGAAAUAUUCAAUAUCAGGGAGAGAUUCUCAAACUACCUGUUUGGAGGAGGAGCAUUUUCUGUUUGGUUUAUCUCAUAGCCAAAAAUUAUAUACAGCAGAACAUUGAUGGAAGUUACUGAUGUAGAUGACAAAAUUGAAUUUAGGAAGUCAAACUGCUGCAUUAGCAGCACCGAAGUGACCUUCCACAGUGCACAAACCUCAGCACUGUGUACGGGGGUCCUGGGCUGCCCAGAUGACAAGACCCCCACUUCUCAGCCUCGCUAAUAUAGUCCAAAGGAAAGCAGAGCAGUACGUCUUGCACCAGCUUGGCUGCAGGCGUUGCCGAAAGGAAGCGUCUUAUGAGCUCCACGCCAGAUUUGUGUAGCGUUUACUCCUUUGACUUUUCUUCUCCCAAAGACGACAGUGGAGGUUUAGGAUCAAAGCUUUCCUUCAUCUAGAUGCACUACCUUCCCAGUUUGAAGAGUCCCAUCUGCCCCAUACUUCCCCCUACAGAACAUGAAGAAACCACCUUCUUGACUGUUGGACCAACUAUUGGCCUCGUCCACUCAAUCUGCCAGAGCCUGUCUUCUCAUAUAAGGGAAGUCACUAACUCCCUGAGGGUUUGAGACCUAUCUGCUGCCCUUACCUAGUUUAGCCGGCCAGUCAAAGCUGUUCCUAGGGUGUGGCCGCUGUUGCAUGCUGACACCUUCUAGGAGCCACAGGCGAGAGCUGAAUGUGUGUGGGGGGGUGAAUUAACUACCCCAGAAGAAGUGUGAUUUGUCCACCCACUGAGAUCCAAUGUGAGCUCCGGGUACUGGGACUGCCUGGCCGGCUGGCAAGGGGGCAUCACACUCUCCUCCCCGGUCAGGAAACGGAUAUAAGCCUGCCUGCAAGACUGGCCAAUGGCAGGCAGGUUUGGAGGCAGGAUCUCCCCGACAGAGCACGAAGGCUUCCCUCAGAUCCACUCCCAGAAUAUUUAAACUGGCCUGCCUUAACACUGGCACCUGGCCUUUUCCUCAUCGGAUCUCCCACCCACGCCUCCUGUUGUGCUGUGUUUUGUGUAUUUCUGACUUUGCUAUGGUCACCGUAUUCAAGUCCGGGCAGGAAUUUGUCCACCAGUCAAAUUGGCCCCAGUUUGGUGGUUUUGCCUACCUCGCAGCAUGGUCCAUUCCGCCAAGGCCAUCCCUGGGUGGAUUUGAACCACCAGCCUUCUGGUUAACUGCCAGACACACUGACCCGUUGUGCCAGAGUCUUAAACUAUGACACCUGCUAAUAUGGGCCACAUAAAUCAUUUAGAUUAGCUUCAACAAGUCACAUUGUUGCCUGGGGUCCCACAACUAAAGGACAUAAUAUUGGUUAGUUACCAAGAAUGCCCCAACCUACUCAUUUUUCUUUCUAUUUUGAGUUACAUACACCCCCGUAGGGAAGAAAACUCUUAAAAUAGCUCAUCUGGGCGGCAACUUGAGAACCCAAUGGAGGCAAUGUGGGUCUUUUUCACUGCCAUUGUUGUUACUGAUAGAUGCAGUUGUACUUUCUAAACACUAAACAGGUGGUGUUGUGUGUCUUCCACUCUAGCUGUUAUCUUGUCUGCUUUGUUGCUGAGAGGUCUGAGGACAAUCAAGGAGCUCUGCAGUGUCAUAACAUGCACUCUGUGGGGAUUGUGUUACUUACCCUUCCCCAUCUUGACAUUCAGAAUGAGGUGAGGGCUUCAAGAAAAUCACUAACUUCAGCUACUGGAAAAUUCCCCAGAACACUCAGAAAUCUAUCAGGUUCCAUAAGUCUCCCAAGGGAAGACCGUCUGAAUUGGUUCCCCACCUCUACUGUCUGUGUGUAUGUUGAGAGAACUGGUGCUGCGAGCCCAAACACUGCAGCUUGUGGUCUGACCAUGAAAAAGGGAUCAAUUCCAUUCCUCCAAUAACCACCACUCAACACUCACCCUGAAAUGAGAGACUAAAUCUGUUGUGUGUCCUGCCCUUUGUGUUGCUCCAUUGACAACUUGGGGCAACCCCAUGGUUGUCAUGGAGGUCAUAAAGUCUCAAUUCAGGUCAGACAAUCCAACCUUAGCAUGAAUGUUGAAGUCACCCAGAACCACCAUCCUGGGGUUCUCCAACACCAGACUGGAGACACUACCUCUGCCAACUUAGAAGGGGAGCCACUGAGCAACUGUGGGCUUUAAACCAACAGCAUCUGCAGUCUGUCCUGCUGACCCAACAACUGUAUUAACCCAAGCAGAGGGAAACUGUUACAGUGUUUAUUGACCUGAAAGGGACUUUUCAUGCUCUUUCAAGGAAGAUUGUUUCUUAUAUGUGAUUUGUAUAUUCAAACAAAUCUUCAAGGUGACCGCAGUAUUCUUCACGGUCAAACUACUGUCCCUGUUACUAUAUGGUAUCUCUAUAGAUUGAGAUGUCUAAUUCUGCACCAGGCAUUUUUCUUGCAUUAUAUUCUGGGGGUACCUAACUGUGUAAGAUAUGCAAACAUGUGUCUGGAAAUUGGUGUAGUAUUUGUGGGAACCAGUGUAGGUCCAAAUACUAAAAUAUGUGUUACGUCUUCAUUUUUCUUCAUUAAUAUCUAUGCUAUAUCUAACAGAUUAAUAUUUUAGAAAACGGUCCUAUAUAAUUUUAUAUAAAAAUACUUUAACGGCUGUUUUGUCUGAAUCACUUCUAAUGCUAGAGCAACAAUAAACUUUCAGGGUUCUGACCCAACAUUUAUAUGAUAUUGAAAGACAAGAUCUAUACUCUCUGGCUAAUAGAACUUGUUCCCCUAUAGUUAUGCUACUUCAGCUUAUGCUAUUUCUGUAAAGAAUAUACAGGCUCAUAAGAGCAUUCAUACCUGCAGUAAUCAAAAUGUUUUGACAAUAGCCAUACUCCAGGGC